AUUGAACGCUGGCGGCAUGCCUAACACAUGCAAGUCGAACGGGGCAGCAAUGCCUAGUGGCGGACGGGUGAGGAACAUGUAGGAAUCUGCCCUUAAGUGGGGGAUAACCAGGGGAAACCCUGACUAAUACCGCAUGAUCUCUUCGGAGCAAAGAGGGGGACCGCAAGGCCUCUCGCUUCUGGAUGAGCCUACGUCGGAUGGGCUAGUUGGUAGGGUAAAGGCCUACCAAGGCGACGAUCAGUACCUGGUCUGAGAGGAUGAUCAGUCACACCGGAACUGAGACACGGUCCGGACUCCUACGGGAGGCAGCAGUGGGGAAUAUUGGACAAUGGGCGCAAGCCUGAUCCAGCCAUGCCGCGUGUGUGAAGAAGGCCUUCGGGUUGUAAAGCACUUUCAGCGAGGAGGAAGGGUUGUGUGUUAAUAGUACACAGCCUUGACGUUACUCGCAGAAGAAGCACCGGCUAACUCUGUGCCAGCCGCCGCAGUAAUAC
rnacentral:rRNA from 1 species